GCUAGAAAUAAUCUUGAAUGAUUUCCUCAGUUUAGUUCCAUUCGUGACAGCCAACGAUAUACAACAAAAUGUCUACACCAAUUGGAUUGUACUUGUUGCUUAGGUAUUAUAUACAUAUAUUUCCAUUUCAAUUCUACUUACUACUAUCUAUUCUGUGUAUUAGUUUCCUUUUAGUUGUCUGCCUACAAGUCAUUCUCUGUGAUGAUGUACCAUCCGCAGAGGCUGAUACAGUCAUCACUCAAAGUGAACCAACCCACACAACGCCAGACGACUUUCAUCUAUAAUGGAAAUGUUUCGAUUAAGGCCCCCCACUUUUAAUAAAGAAAUCAGCCCGUCAGCAGGUUUUACUUAGUCGAAUCAAGUGGUGGGCACUGCUGAUACAAGGCAAUUGCAAUUAUGCAAUCAGACCAAAGUCAAGUUCACAGUCACAUGUGCCAUUAUAUUUUUUGUUGUAAAAACCUAUUCAUGUCUGCG
rnacentral:lncRNA from 1 species